rnacentral:lncRNA from 1 species
GAUUUUCUAUUCACUCAUGAUCUGGCCUGGUCGACCCAAUCAUGAUAUUGAAGGAUGGGACCUUUUCUCAAAAAACUCCGGAUCCCGAUAAGAGUUGAAAAUGGUGCAACAUCGAAUCCUGUUACUUCGAAUGGAAGCCCGCCUCACUUGCUUUCUUUACUGCAUAAGGGCAUAAGCGAAGUCAAGGGAUUUCCGUCUAACUAGUGGCUGAGAGUAAGCAAGCUACCUUGAGCGGAUCCCACGUUAGCCCCAAGACGUUGGUCUCUAACUCGAAAAGUAAAUGCUUGAGUGAGAAGGGCCUCCUCGCUUAUUGACUUGAACCACUGACCUUUAGAACGAACCUAUAGGACAAAAGGAACUUAACUAAACUAAGGGCAUCUGACAAAGAGCAAAGAGCUUAUCUCAACUACUUUACUUUAGUCCUAGUACUGAAAGACGUAACUUCAGGAGUUUCCCUGAAAGAAUAGUAAGGCUGGAUGGAAUGAAGGGGAAGGGUUUACAAAUAAAUCAAUCAAAGGAACCAAAACAUAAAGAUAAGCCUAAGCUCUAGGUCGAUGUGGUGUAGACGAGCCCCAGGUUUUUAGAAUCCUUCCUUGGUUGGAAAGGGCAGAGUUCCAUUUUGGGGGUGGGUCUAGAGCGAAGGAAAGAGAUGUGUGGCAGAGGGCAGUUGAGGCGUCGAACGAACAUGUUUGANUGCUGAUUGAUGACUUAGAGUUACAUCGGGAAAUUUCUUAGAUGAUCACUGAACCUCCUGGUAAGGUCCCAUAUAGCAUCGGUUGCAGAGUGGGAACGUAAAACCUGCUGCCGGUUACUCUAGCGGGAAGAGAUUCCCAUGCUGAAAGCGACCGAUGUUGGCUCCAUACUGGUGUAUGUACCUUGACUAGAAGAAACAACAAGAACAAGAGGGGGAGUUUAGGAGUUUUAUUUCCUUACUUCCUCUAGUAGCCGCUCCCCCCAACCCUCCCUUUUUGAGUACGGGCUUGGGGGAAGCUACAGGCAACAACUAGCUACUCUAGUUACGCUCGUGAUCCCCAACUAGGGAAUCACUCACUAGCCGGAGGGAGACUUAGAGUUAGUUCUUGUUCUCCUAGGUAUAGGUAGAUUUUCCGAGCUAAGAGUCAAAUCUAGCAUUCGGUAAGUCUACCUAGGAUUAGAGUAGCUAGUUGUUGCCUGUAGCUUCCCCCAGGCCCGUACUCAAAAAGGGAGGGCUGGGGGGAGCGGCUACUAGAGUUAGAGUAAAGCCAGUAAGAAAAGAAAACUCCUAAACUUGUUCAAGUUAACAAAGACAGAUGUAAAUCAUCUAUAACUAGCUCUUAGCGAGUGAGUGACCUACUAGUUGUAGGGCACGAACGCUAGAUAGACUAAAUACUCAAUAGCUAGGAUUAAAUCUAUGAAAUAUAGACUUUUAAGUCUUAGUUUUCUUAGUGUUAACUGUAGCUAUGAGCUAACGUCCCGACCAUGAGGAACGAAUGGAAUAAGGGACUACCGAUCUACUCUACUUGAUGCUAUGAUGCUAGGAAGUUAUGAGCUAACGAGCCCUUAAACGCUCGUUUAGGGGCUCGCUUGAUAGAAGCCCUUAUAGGGCUUCUUUUCUCUUGUUUAAGCUCUUGAAAAGAGCUCAAUCCGGACUACUGUUUUUCCUCCUGGGUAGCUUGACUAGUUAAGCAAAGCAACUAGUCAAGGUACUUCCCAGUAUGGAGCCAACGUCGGUCGCUUCAGCUUGGGCAAAAAACCUAUAAAUUUAUGAUACCCGCUAUUAUCUGAGGCCUCGAUGGGUUUUUAGAGCAAGCUAACUUCAGGAGUUUCCCUGAAAGAAUAGUAAGGCUGGAUGGAAUGAAGGGGGAGGGUUUACAAAUAAAUCAAUCAAAGGAACCAAAACAUAAAGAUAAGCCUAAGCUCUAGGUCGAUGUGGUGUAGACGAGCCCCAGGUUUUUAGAAUCCUUCCUUGGUUGGAAAGGGCAGAGUUCCAUUUUGGGGGUGGGUCUAGAGCGAAGGAAAGAGAUGUGUGGCAGAGGGCAGUUGAGGCGUCGAACGAACAUGUUUGAGUAUGGAUCGUAAUUGAGCGAAAGAUCUGCUCAUCAAAAGUGGUCAACAAGCGAAGGACCUGGAAGGAUCGAAGAGAGCGCUAGUAGAUCGAGCUGUAGGUGCAUGGACUUGGCUAGUGAAGCACAAACCACUCAUCUUUCCAUAGAGAGUGCUACCCUAGAGUAAGAUGAGCGACCCCAGUGGCAACGUUAGUCCCAAGGUAGCUUGCUUACUUCACUAGUCAACGAAGUGCGUAAACAAAUAAAGGAACAUUCUUGCUUGAUCAUUUGCUCUGACUAGACCGCCCUCCCUAGAGUACGAUACUGGUUCGCCAUAGGUCCGAAGAGCUGUCUCUUGUUGCGAUGGUUGGGCAUGAAUGGAGCUUGCUCGGUAGAAAGGAGAGUGGAAGUAGAGAUCGACGUAGAAAUACCAGUAGAACAAUUCUUUAUUAACAAUUAGUUUUAGUUAAAGGAUAAAGCUGAACAGACGCUUCUCGCAAGCAGCAACCCCUGCUGAAGGAAGGAUUGGAUUGAUUAGUCUACUCACUCCGGAAAGGCUCUUGGUCCUACCAAUUGCUUGAAGCUCUGUCAAAGCAGAAAGGACUUUUCCACUAUUCCAUUAAUACUAUGAUACGUGGGAGAUACUUUGCUGAAUUCUCAUCAGUUAAGGCAGUACGGAAGCAAGUUUGAAAGCUGGCAUAGGAUUUCUAAAAAACAGUUAAAUAACUAAGGGUAGGACCUUGUGAUGAAAAGCUUUCUCGUGCUCGGACUUUUAUCAGGUAACUGAAAAUCCUCCAGCAAACAAGGGUUAGUUAAAUAAGGCAAAGGGACAAGGUAUUCAACAAAGAAAGGAAAGGAAGCAAGUUAGAAGCAGACAGGCGCCAACAAAUGAAUAUGCCCUGGGGAAAGAAGCUCUGGAAGCAGGCCAAAGGGAAAUGCUUAUGUUAGGUCCUAUCCCGUAGCAAAUCAAGGUGCGGAGUAAGAUGCCAUGGAAUCCGCUGCAAAGGCAAAGGCGGUCGUUUUAGGACCUGGACCGUUGACUGGGUGCUGAGAACUCUGGUGAGAUCACGCCAGGGUUUUCCAGACGAAAUAAAGUAAAGAACUCUUAGCUGUGACAGUAAGCGAGGAGGAGAUUGAACGCUUUCCCGAUCAGCCAAGCCCUUAAUAAAUAGAGUGGGCAGGCCAAGGCAAGACGAAUCGACCGCACCCCUAGCCCUUUCUUAGCUUCGUAGCCCCAUCAUCUUCCACUUGAGCUUUCUUUAGAGACCCCUAGGGAACUGCAUGAAUUGACUCCAACAACAUAGGCAAUGUCGGGUCCUGUGAUGGUUAUAUACACUAGACUCCCAACCAUGCUUCUGAACUGAGACACAUCUUCAACAGGGAGGAGCCAUACGGGAUGAUAGCUAUUCGUGCCACUCUUUCGAUCUUUCUUUGAAAAGAGCAAGAAAGGGAAUCGGUAAAAGAUCACCUUCCUUUUUCAGUGAACUUGAUCCCGCGCAUCACCCUUGAACUCAGGACUUGAGAAUAGCCUUUCGAUUCCUUCUUCGAGCGACCCUAGCUCAUAUGAACUAGGGUAAGCAGUCCUAAGAGCUAAUCAAUCGAUAGGCCAAAUAGGAGGGCGCUGUAGCUACGGUUUCCGCAGUUAACUUGUUCUAUUCCUAUAUCUGUAUACCAUGACUAACUCUAAGAAUCCUUCCGGUAGUGAAGGGGUAGAUACCCGAACGUCUUAGAGUAGCUUGCAAAUCGGCUUCUUCUUCAAUCGGGAAUCGCUAGUCGCGGGAUUAACUCCCUAGUCUCAUAAGGGCUGAUCGGAUACGGCUAAAGAGUAGGGUAAGCUGGGAAUGUUCCGUCUUUGCAGGUUUUCGUUUGGGUAUUUGCCUUGGCAGGGUAGGAGAAGCCAGAGCUAGGUAAGUGUCAGAGGAGCUUCCCUGGCAAGACUCAAAGGAACAUGGCUUUCGCGGCUAAGCUUCAUGCUUCACCCCUUGUCAUAGGAUUGGCAGUAUCAGUACUAGGCGCGUUCAUAGGAAGACCAGGAGAUCAAGAUUAGUAUAUCACCUCGGUUAUUUGAAGUCAGUUCAGGGCGGGGAAACCCCGAGUAGCUCGACUUCCUUUCUUUCCGGGCAUAGCUCCUCUUGUCUGAAUGCCCCUUGUUCUUGUUGUUAAUGAGUUGUUCCUCUUCUUUUUGGUCCAUGAAAGGGACAGUUACUAAUGGGAAUGGAAGGCGCGGUCCAAUGGUGCGGUAAAGGCGUGGAAAAGAAAGAUAGAGCUUUUAAGUAGUCGUUAUAAGUCGAGAUAAAUAAACCAUUCUUCUAUUCUAGUCCGGAUAUCUGCAUACCAUGCCGGCUGAUCGGAAGCUACGUUCUUCCAUCGUACAACAACAGUAGCUCCUUAGCUGCGCUACACAUUCUUAGCUACAUUAUUCAACUAGACUAGUCAAUGAAACUAGCUACCCCAUGUUCUAACAUGAAGUCUGCAAUGGCGCGGGAACAUGCGGAUACAUUAGCAACAGGAACAUGGUUUAAUUGCUAUUUGAAUUUAGCAGCAUUGGCCGUAGAAUCAAAUAUUGACGGUGACUGACCACUAGAUCUGUCGAUCGAGACCUUGGUCUUCCUGCAGUGCUAUAGGCUUUUGACUCUCUCUCUCUAUGGGCUAACGCCCUAGAUCCUCCAACGGUGAGACUGAGUGUAUUACUUUCUCUUAAGACUACAGAGGUACGUAAAGUAGAGGUCCCUCAAUUCAACUAUCUCUUCAUACUUUUCUGGGUGACCAAGACAUAGACUAAGAUUCCUUUGUAUCCGGGCGCUUACCUCGCUUGUUAGGGAUCGAUGCUUCGCCUCAUCCGUGCUCAUUGGAAACCUUGACUCUUCAAUAGAUUCAUCUUAACUUAAGAAAAGUGGUACUUUCUGUUUGCCUUCCCGUCUUUUCUCAGCGGAUCAGCCACAUACUCCGAAGUAAGGUUAGUGACGGGAACGUAGCUUGGUCAGGUUUUCUGGGGGUUGGUUCCUCUACUAGAAUAGGUUCCGAACGCCUCACUUCUCUGACUUUCGGUGCUUAUCUUCAAUCAUAAGAUGGUNGUCUUUUCUCAGCGGAUCAGCCACAUACUCCGAAGUAAGGUUAGUGACGGGAACGUAGCUUGGUCAGGUUUUCUGGGGGUUGGUUCCUCUACUAGAAUAGGUUCCGAACGCCUCACUUCUCUGACUUUCGGUGCUUAUCUUCAAUCAUAAGAUGGUCACCCGCCCUAAGCAACAUCGGUUCACCAUAGAUAUUUCGAGAACUUCUCUUCUUGACUAGGAUAGCGCUCUUCCUUCUCAAAGAUUUGCCUUUUCUUCACCUCUCCCAGCGCUGCUCAAGAAUCAUUCUGGUAUCUACUACUCCGGUACCUACUAUUCUUUCCGAACCUGGGGCUUCGCUUGCUCGCCCACUUAUCCAUGCGUUCUUUGGUAGGCAGCAUAGCUUGGUUUUCCACUUCCAAGAAAGACUUGAGUGAAUUCCUUGUUUUCGAACCAAACACCCAAACGGUUUCGGGCUCGAGGAGUACCGGACGUCUUAAAGAAGAGUGAAACAGCAGCUCUUCCUCUCAAGUGAUGGCAUCUCGGGUGAGAGGCCAGAACGAUGAGCUCCUGUGGCCUAUGGUGCGGAGGAGUACCUGUUCGCCAUAUGGCAAGAAAGAGAAACCGGUCCCUAUGGUGAUACGCGAAAUACCCGAUCCCGGCUAAAACUAGCUAUAUCGAAACCGCGAGUUCUGAGUAGCUGAUUGUCCAUAAUUUAAGGAAAACGUGUCUUUGUCAGCAGAUCUUGUUGUUCUUUCCUCACUAUCUGUAUAGAAAGGGCAAGUCGCUGUUAAGCGUUAGGCGUUUCUUCUCCUAAAGGCUUUCUAACGGGAAUGGACUCAAUAUGUGGUUGCUUCGGUUUGUCAAUAUGCCACCAUUGGUAGAGUAGUUAAGAAAAGAGUCAAUCGAUAUGAAGUGAAUGGAGGGACGAACUCACCAAAGAGCUAUUUGUCUAUGCCUUGUCUCCUUGCUUUGACGGAAGCCAUUUCAUCGCGUUAAUGGCAUUGUAGAGCCGUAUUCCAGGAGUUAAUGGUCGCCACUGUCUAUUGGCUCAGAAGCCUCGGAUAAUUGCCAUUGCUGCUUCGCCCUUUUAGCAAAGACAUGGGAACUGUAUCCCAAAGGUCUUGAUUUCCUUAUAAAUGAAAUGGAUAUAUGGUAUGGGCUUUGGUCAGGGCAUUGGAGAGGGUUAAGGCUCCUGUUAGUGAUAUGGAUAUGGUAGUAAUACGGAUAUUCCAUAGAUAGAGAAAUGUCUUCCUUUGGGUUUUGUUUUCCCUGUAGCUACCUUGUUAAUGCAGCUAUUAAGGUAGUGAAUGGAUGGCUCACUUACGAUAUUCCUCAUGCGACCAGUGGUAAACCCGUCUGUCCGUAAAUAGAGAAUGGAAGAACUCCUAAAGCGUUGAAAGAAGCUCGGGUGAGUAUUCCGACUGGAACUAGCCGUUCUAUGUGCCUAGCAUCUGUCAACUCAAAGAGAAGAAGCUGGAAUGGAGAUAUAAUACUUCAAGUAUAGGGGUGGAUAAGUCGGGGAGAAGGCUAGGAUCAAUCAAAUUACGUAGGCCUUCCUUAGAACCCGAGAACAGGGGAAAUCGGAGUUCAAGAUGCUAGGAGAACUCUCUCUCAUAUAUGAAUUGUUCGAGCGGGUCCAGACAGAGGAUAAAUCAACAAGCGAGGCUCUGCAUGAAGGAUCCAAAGGACCAACUGGAAAGGAAGCGAAGGUGUCGUAGACUAAGAAGCCGAUUUUGCAAGCAAUGAACUCCUCUAGCUACAUUACCGCAGAUUGUGGAUAUCAAUACCCUAUUGAACAACUACAUCAACAUCUCCCAUCUAUUGAAUAAGUCAGUAGAGACGGAGAAUCAAUACCAAGCUAUCAAG